UACGAAGGGGGCUAGCGUUGCUCGGAAUCACUGGGCGUAAAGCGCACGUAGGCGGCUUCUUAAGUCAGGGGUGAAAUCCUGGAGCUCAACUCCAGAACUGCCUUUGAUACUGAGAGGCUUGAGUCCGGGAGAGGUGAGUGGAACUGCGAGUGUAGAGGUGAAAUUCGUAGAUAUUCGCAAGAACACCAGUGGCGAAGGCGGCUCACUGGCCCGGUACUGACGCUGAGGUGCGAAAGCGUGGGGAGCAACAGG
rnacentral:rRNA from 1 species